rnacentral:rRNA from 1 species
AUUGAACGCUGGCGGCAUGCUUUACACAUGCAAGUCGAACGAGUGGCGCACGGGUGAGUAAUACAUCGGAACGUGUCCUCUCGCGGGGGAUAACUGCUCGAAAGAUCAGCUAAUACCGCAUACGAUCGGAUCGGCCGAUGCCCGAUUAGCUGGUUGGUGAGGUAAAGGCUCACCAAGGCGACGAUCGGUAGCUGGUCUGCGAGGACGACCAGCAACACUGGGACUGAGACACGGCCCAGACGCCUACGGAAGGCAGCAGUGGGAAAUUUUGGACAAGGGGGGAAACCCUGAGCCGGCCAGGCCGCGUGCAGAAUGAAGGUUUUCGGAUUGUAAGCUGUGUUUGUCAGGGCAGCGGUACCUGAAGAAUAAGCACCGGCUAACUACGUGCCAGCAGCCGCGGUAAUUC